UCCAACAUUGAUGGAUUAAAAGCCAGAAGUCUGCAUGACCAUCAUCAUCAAGUCCUUCCGUGAGAACCCUAAAUACAAAGAGGACUGUUUCAUUUAUGUGAGGUAGAAUGCCCAGAGGGGACUGGGCGGUCUCAUGGUUUGGAACCCCUACAGAUUUUAUUUUUUUCUCCACCGUCUGGAGUUUUUUUUUGUUUUUUCUGUCCUCCCUGGCCAUCGGACCUUACUCUUAUUCUAUGUUAACUAAUGUUGUCUUAUUUUAAUUUCUUACUUUGUCUUUUAUUUUUCUUUUCUUCAUUAUAUAAAGCACUUUGAGCUACUUUUUUGUAUGAAAAUGUGCUAUAUAAAUAAAUGUUGUUGUUGU